GCAAACUUGGUCAUUUAGAGGAAGUAAAAGUCGUAACAAGGUUUCCGUAGGUGAACCUGCGGAGGGAUCAUUACCGAGUGAGGGUCGCCCCGCGCGCCCGACCUCCCAACCCUUUGAUGUGAUCAAGACCUCUUAUGCCUCGGGGGCGACCCGGCCCUGGCGCCGCGGUCCCCCCGGUGGACCCCAACCAAAACUCUGCAUCAGUUGUCGUCUGAGAAUAAAGUUAAUUCAAUUAAAACUUUCAACAACGGAUCUCUUGGUUCUGGCAUCGAUGAAGAACGCAGC
rnacentral:misc_RNA from 1 species